CAGAGGGUGCGAGCGUUAAUCGGAAUUACUGGGCGUAAAGCGUGCGUAGACGGUUAUUUAAGUCGGGUGUGAAAGCCCCGGGCUCAACCUGGGAAUUGCAUUCGAGACUGAAUAGCUAGGGUACGGUAGAGGGAAGUGGAAUUUCCGGUGUAGCGGUGAAAUGCGUAGAUAUCGGAAGGAACAUCAGUGGCGAAAGCGACUUCCUGGACCAGUACCGACGUUCAGGCACGAAAGCGUGGGGAGCAAACAGGAUUAGAUACCCUGGUGGUCCACGCCAUAAACGAUGAGGACUAGACGUUGGAGGGGUAAGCCUUUCAGUGUCGUAGCUAACGCGCUAAGUCCUCCGCCUGGGGAGUACGGCCGCAAGGUUG
rnacentral:rRNA from 1 species